GACGAACGCUGGCGGCGUGCUUAACACAUGCAAGUCGAACGGAAAGGCCCUGCUUUUGUGGGGUACUCGAGUGGCGAACGGGUGAGUAACACGUGAGUAACCUGCCCUUGACUUUGGGAUAACUUCAGGAAACUGGGGCUAAUACCGGAUAGGAGCUCCUGCUGCAUGGUGGGGGUUGGAAAGUUUCGGCGGUUGGGGAUGGACUCGCGGCUUAUCAGCUUGUUGGUGGGGUAGUGGCUUACCAAGGCUUUGACGGGUAGCCGGCCUGAGAGGGUGACCGGCCACAUUGGGACUGAGAUACGGCCCAGACUCCUACGGGAGGCAGCAGUGGGGAAUAUUGCACAAUGGGCGGAAGCCUGAUGCAGCAACGCCGCGUGCGGGAUGACGGCCUUUGGGUUGUAAACCGCUUUCGCCUGUGACGAAGCGUGAGUGACGGUAAUGGGUAAAGAAGCACCGGCUAACUACGUG
rnacentral:rRNA from 1 species